CCUCGGGAGGCAGCAGUGGGGAAUAUUGGACAAUGGGCGAAAGCCUGAUCCAGCCAUGCCGCGUGUGUGAAGAAGGCCUUCGGGUUGUGAAGCACUUUCAGUGGGGAAGAAAGCCUUGGGGCUAAUACCCUCGAGGAAGGACAUCACCCACAGAAGAAGCACCGGCUAACUCCGUGCCAGCAGCCGCGGUAAUACGGAGGGUGCGAGCGUUAAUCGGAAUUACUGGGCGUAAAGCGCGCGUAGGCGGUCUGAUAAGCCGGUUGUGAAAGCCCCGGGCUCAACCUGGGAACGGCAUCCGGAACUGUCAGGCUAGAGUGCAGGAGAGGAAGGUAGAAUUCCCGGUGUAGCGGUGAAAUGCGUAGAGAUCGGGAGGAAUACCAGUGGCGAAGGCGGCCUUCUGGACUGACACUGACGCUGAGGUGCGAAAGCGUGGGUAGCAAACAGGAUUAGAUACCCCGGUAGUC
rnacentral:rRNA from 1 species